rnacentral:rRNA from 1 species
UGGGGAAUAUUGGACAAUGGGGGGAACCCUGAUCCAGCCAUGCCGCGUGUGUGAAGAAGGCCUUAUGGUUGUAAAGCACUUUAAGCGAGGAGGAGGGUACUGGCAUUAAUACUACCAGGUACUGGACGUUACUCGCAGAAUGAGCACCGGCUAACUCUGUGCCAGCAGCCGCGGUAAUACAGAGGGUGCGAGCGUUAAUCGGAUUUACUGGGCGUAAAGCGUGCGUAGGCGGCUAAUUGAGUCGGAUGUGAAAUCCCCGAGCUUAACUUGGGAAUUGCAUUCGAUACUGGUUAGCUAGAGUGUGGGAGAGGAUGGUAGAAUUCCAGGUGUAGCGGUGAAAUGCGUAGAGAUCUGGAGGAAUACCGAUGGCGAAGGCAGCCAUCUGGCCUAACACUGACGCUGAGGUACGAAAGCAUGGGGAGCAAACAGG